rnacentral:rRNA from 1 species
UAAGGAAUAUUGGUCAAUGGACGAAAGUCUGAACCAGCCAUGCCGCGUGGAGGAUGAAGGUCCUCUGGAUUGUAAACUUCUUUUAUCUGGGACGAAACAUGGGUUUUCUAACUCACUUGACGGUACCAGAUGAAUAAGCACCGGCUAACUCCGUGCCAGCAGCCGCGGUAAUACGGAGGGUGCAAGCGUUAUCCGGAUUCACUGGGUUUAAAGGGUGCGUAGGCGGGCAUGUAAGUCAGUGGUGAAAUCUCAAAGCUUAACUUUGAAACUGCCAUUGAUACUAUGUGUCUUGAAUUUUCUGGAGGUUAGCGGAAUAUGUCAUGUAGCGGUGAAAUGCUUAGAUAUGACAUAGAACACCGAUUGCGAAGGCAGCUGACUACGGAUGAAUUGACGCUGAUGC